GCCCAUUGGUCCCUGAGGCUCUUCUCCUCCCCCUGCCUGCCCUACAUUUAAACCUGAACCCUCCAUUGUUCCUGGUCUUUGCUCCCUGGUUCCCGCGGGGUGGUGGUGAGUAAAGCCCCUCAGGACAGGUGUACCCAUCACCCCUCUCAUCUCUGCAGCUGCUGUGGGUGAUCCGAGGCCGAGUGAGUCUGUAAAUGGAGUGUCUGCUGCUGACCUGAGCGCUGUCCAGCUGGAGAUGUCUUUUGGAAGGUAGCAUCACCCUGCCAUUCAGACCACAGCACUAUGCUGUGUGAUUUCAGAGAACUUUCUUCAAACACAAGAAAAUACGUCAAUUUUCAAUCUUAACAUUUGCUUGGAAAUCCAUUUUUCUGAGCAUUCUGAAGCAGUUUGAGACAUCAGGGUCAUUUGAAGAGAACACAAGCUACAUACCAGAACAAUAUAAGCUACAGCAAUAUUUUGGAAGAAAGGCUCAAGAUGCCAGGAAAUUAGUAACCGUCAGUACCAAAUUGUUGUAAGUACUCUCAAAUAACAGAAAGGCAAAGUAACUUGAAAAAUCAGUGCAGAACUUAGGAGAUGCAGAGAGAACUCUUCCAGGAAAUGGUAUGUGUUUUAGCACAGCUGAAAAAAUAAUUCCUAAAAUACAUUACGAAAUCUGCAAGGACAAAAUUGUCCUAGUAUGAUGAACAAGACAAAGCAACUGUUAGAUUUGUGGGCAUGGAAAGACUUGAAAAUUAUGAUAUUAGAAUUCAGCAAAUACUGCUAUUUACAGUGGUGCUAUUUUCAGCUAACAUUCUUCUAGUAAGAUGUUGUGAUUAAAAAACAACAACAAAAAAAAUCUGGAAAACUGGUGGUGUUUCAAGAAAAAUUGGUUAGCAGAAAGCAUGCUCGACUGGGAUGACUAUCUUCUCUUUUCUUCUGCCAAUAAUCUUCAUGCCAAUGAAGAUAAAGGAUGACAGCAUCUUUCAGGUCUCCAGAUAUUUAUGCAUUGCUUGAAAAUGAGUAUGGAAGUUGUCCAAUAACUUUACCACUUCAGUUUUUGGCUGUGGCCAAAAGAUGCUCAGGGCAGGAUACAACAAUAGGCGAAGCAUGUCAUGGAACUUCC
rnacentral:lncRNA from 1 species